rnacentral:rRNA from 1 species
CGCGCCGACCGGGUGAUGCCCCGGAAGCCCGGGCGGGCCGUCGCUGCGUCACGCUGCUCGCCCGCGGGCGCCCGCCCUUGCGCGCACGUCUUGGCGCCGGGUUGCCAGCGGUGUCCGGCUAGCAGGGACCGCCGCGGGGGGUGCAACCGUUGUCCUGAGCCGUCCGCCGCGUCCCGGGUGAGCGGGCAUGCAUGGCUUCGUCCUUGGGGAGAGCGUCGCGCUCCGGCAGG